rnacentral:misc_RNA from 1 species
UUAAGUUCAGCGGGUAUCCCUACCUGAUCCGAGGUCAACCAUAGAAAUUUGGUGGUUAAUAGCAAGCACCUACCUAGACUCUAUAGCGAGAAUAAUUACUACGCUUAGAGCUAAAUAGCACCGCUACUAGUUUUAGGGGCUGCUGGUGUAGCAGGCUCCAAUACCAAGCUAGGCUUGAGGGGUUAAAUGACGCUCGAACA